AUGGACUUUCCUCAGCUUGAGAAGAACAUAACACAAGAAGGAACGCCAGCCAUCUGGUUGGAUUGCCAUUACCCAAAACCGACUUGGAAGGCGAAAAUCCCCAUGAGCCAUCUCAGUAUGAAUGGCAUUUAUACAAAUCAGAUGAAAACAACAACGUCCCGAAUCUGUUCAGCAUCCUGGAGUGAAAUCAGCAGCAGUAGUAUUUGUCCCACAAGCAUCAAUUACGUUGAUAGAAUGAGCUUCCCUCAGAAGUUCCUCCUUUCCAGACCUACUCCCGGAUCACCUGGAAGCUACAGGUUCCUCACUCGAACCCGCCUCCCCCCAGCUGCUGUUGACAAACGGGGACCCCGAUGCCACGGAAGCAGCUCUCACCCUGGCCCACGAGGCAGCUCUCGGAGCGGAGUCAGACCCGUGCAGCAGUGCGGCCGCAAGGUGGCGAUGCAAGCACGGCUAUCUCCGCAGCCAGCAGAACCCAGGAGGUGCAUUUCAGCUGCCUGCAGCUGCCGAUCCUGCUCUCCUUAA
rnacentral:lncRNA from 1 species